rnacentral:lncRNA from 1 species
AGAGGGCAGCUGGCAGGGCUCACAGUGUGGGGUCCCACCCUGCAGAGGCUGGGUCAGGCCCUCAAGGGCUGGGUUGCUGGCUUCAAGAGGCUGGGCCAGGAUGUCAAGGGGCGGAGUUCCGGGUUCCACAGCUGGGACAGUGUUGCCCAGAGCUGAUUCCUGGGACUUGCAGAAACGUGCGAAGGUCUCUGAAGGCCUGGCCCCGGUCUGUGGAGCAAAUCCAGCUGCCUGAGCUAGCUCCCUGACCCGGGUGUUGAAUCCCUGCAGCUGCUCCUGCCGCACGUCCACCAGGCCACAUAGAGGAGCUGGAAUCGGCCGUUGUAGCAGCUCUUGUGGUGGAGAGUCUGAGCAGAAUUGAGCGGCAGGAAGUGGACGGUGAAAGAUUCCGGGGUCGGGGCUGCUGGGGGAAGGGGAUAGAGGGGUCACCUCUGACAGGCGGAGCCAUAAGGGCGGAAAACCAGAGAGAUACACAGAGCUGGGCAGAGCUGGGCAGGCACACAGGACUUGGAGAUAACACUUUUUGUCCUCUUGCAGCUUUUUAAAAAAUCCUCUAAGGUAGGCUCCUGGAAAGUUCUGGGAAGGUCAGCCUGGCAGGCAGAGACUCACUGUACAGAUCAGGCAACUGAGACUCUAGAGAGGGAAAGAGGGUGGGUGGCCAGGGCCACAUGUGACAUGCCCUGUCAGACAGACACGCAGGGAGGGCCAGGUUGGAGGAUGGCUGGAAGGAGGCCCAGCCAGGAUCCAGGGUGUGGGAGGCUGUCCAAGGGGGAGCUGGGACCCAGCACCCUGUGAGAAUAUUCUUGGAUAGCUUAGCCCUCUGCAGAUAAGAUUAGAAUUCUGCUAGUGGAAUUCAGAAUUCUAAGCAUGCUCUCAGAAUUUAGGAAAGGGAGAGAAAGAGAGAAAAAGAGACAGAAUAUCAAGAAGCCGUCACUUGCCCAGGCAUUCCAAAUCAUGUCAGUCCACACUCCAGUGUGAAACACCUGGAGGCUGGAGUCCCUGGCUUACCUGUUGUUGUCCCUGGCUUACCUGGAGUCCCUGGCUCCGGGCUUCCCUCCGCGUGCUGCUGCUCCUCCAGGUCCCCCCCGGUGGCUCUCGCGCGCCCCCAGGCGGCCACGUCGCGGAGCAGCUCCGUCACGUUGUGUUGAGUGAUCUCCCCGGCCGUCUAACAGUAGAAGGGGCGUGGCCAGACGUCGGGGCCAGGAUGGCGGGGCGGGGCUUAGAACGCUGGGAGUCCUCGGUCCAGGACUAGAACUCCCGCAGCUGCUUGGAGGAUGUGAAGUGGGGCGGGACCUAUCCCGCGGGGAUGGGGCCUGUUCUCUGAAUGGAGUCGUUCCCACCAAGC